GGAAGGUCUUGCAUAUCGGUAGUGCUAACUAGUCUUGAAAACUAGCGGUCAGAAAUGGUCUAGGGGUUCAACUCCCCUACCUUCCU
rnacentral:tRNA from 1 species